AUCGGUUCGGGCAUGCGACGUAUUGGAGCAUGGCGACGAGUUCAUCGUGAGAUGUGUUCAAGCAUGAGACAACCAGCGCCUGUACAAAAGCCUGGACUCCUGUUUGAGGCUGGGAACCGUCUGCAACAUGCAAGGGUGUGGCGGUGGUUUUGUGACGCCAGGCCAGGUUCAUUGCCCAAACGUUUGGUGAUCACUGCAACCGUUGACCGGAAACUGCUCAAGUUACCACCGCGUGUUGCGAAGGCAACGUUUAUAGCGUCGCGGUUAUAGACAUUACCCGUUUGAUAAGUGAAAUCGAGGAGGCUACGGAGCUGGAUGCCACCAGGACCUGAGAACGCUGCCGGAAGAGCCAAACAACGGCCGCUUCGCGCAGUGCUCGCAAAGACCCAGUUCGACUUUGCUGAUGCAAGCGCAACGUAUCCCACGACUCUGAGUCGUUAUCGCAUGUUGCGCAACGAGCACGUGUGCAGCGAGUUCCUGGACUGCACCCAGCUGCAGACCGUGUAAAAGGCACUCCCCGUGAUCGGAUCUGGUCACUGCGGGGCUAGCUUUUCCUCGAAAACGCGGUUUGUAACGGUUUACUGGUUACGAUCGGGCGCUUCAGCUAUGGAGGCAGUUGAGGAACGCACAGGCGACUCCUCCUGGACGCUGAUGCAGCUCUGUCGGGUGCAGGUUGUUUGAAUGGAGCAGGGCUGACGCCCCAGCAACGGAUGCAGCAUCAAUGCCCGGGAUGGAUCCUACCGAAACACCAGCUGGAUUACAGCUUCGUGGAAGCAGUCAAGAGAGCAGCUCUGAAGCGGAAGAUUGUCGCUGGAUCCUUGCAGGCAUUCGCGACGGCGCUUCGCCCAAACUGUGACGAGUAAUACGAACACAACAGGAGUACCCAGCAAGUGACCUAAGUAAGCAGGCACUCGCGCCUGCAUGCUAUCGGAAGACGUUUACAACCACAACCGGCGAGCAUGCGAUAUUUUGCCCAGCAGCCUUCAUCGAUAUGUCAUAUAGACAUAUACGCCGACGUGCGUGCGUGCGUGCAACAUAGCGUGCGUGCGUGCAACAUAGCGUGCAAAGUCUAUCGGCUGCUGCGGCUGCGGCUGCGGCGGAUCGCGCGCCGGCCGCACCCCCGAUGCACACGCAUUCGCGCAUGAACCAGCAGACGCCGUGCGGUAUACGGGCAUGAUUGAGGUCUCCGAUCGGUUGCCUCGUGAACGGACACGUGUCCACGCCCUGCGUUGUCACGCAUAGCGCCUGCAGUUUUCGCGCGUAACCUGCGUUCCGCAGCCGGCAUAGCGAGAACGGCACACGGAAAUGCGGACGUCGAGGCGGUCACGAUCUGAGGCGGCGAAUUCGCAGCUGGUGUUGUGAUGGCGCUGCACCUCGGGAACAUUGAGGGGUUACGAUUGGGACAGCUCGUGUACGAGCAGUGUGCCGCCUUGCUUUUCGGCGAUGCUUGAGCCCAGCUCCGCGUUUGCAUCAUAGGAGGGCACUAUGGCGAGGGUUCCGUUCGUUAGCGCUGCAAAGAGGCCGGUGAUCAUGACACGAUGUGCGCGCUCGCGGUUUCUGGGCGAGAGCACGACCCGUCCAUGGGCAACAUCUCCGUGAUCGGCGUGCAUGCCGCCCAGUUUCUGAGCCAAGGUUUGGGCGUGCUUUAAGAUCGCCAUCUCAUCCAGAUGUACGUAACAAUCUUUCCCUGCACCGAAAUGCCCAGUGCUACCAUCUUGGCCUGCUUCCGGUUCGCAGAAAAUGAAUGUGCCCAACUUUUCGUGACUAUGUUUGAGAUUAUCCUCCAGAGGAUGCGGAUCUGCAUCGUACACGAGCAUAUUGCGAUAGCGUAGUAGCGUGCGCAGAUUCUCCGGACCGGUAUGCGCGACAAACUCCAGCUGCUGCGGCACCAAUGCAGGUUGCGGCCGUAUGGUAUGACCUGUGAGCGGCGUAAAUCCUGCCAAUCCAGCACUAUCGCAGGUUACGGGUGAGCGCUCAGCUGCAGCCGUCGGUGGAGCCAGGAAUAGUGCACGCACGAGCUGCACCGGCACAUCCAAAUUAUCAUACAGCACACUGCUCAGCGUGCUCCCUGCUGGUGCGACACGCUCCGGGGACGGCAUUCGGGCAGCUACUGCACGCGGGAUAACUUCGUAAUCAUGCCAACAGAUGAGACCCCGAGGUGGAUACUUUUGAAGCAUUCGCAGCGCGCGCUCGAGUGUGAUGUCGUCCACCACGCCGUCCUGCGCGCUAGUGUUCGUGUCAUCCUUGGGCGGCAGCGGUGAUGACGUCCGCAGGAUCCUCCUCGGCGGUGGGAGCGAAACGAGCUCCAGUCCGGAAGCAGCGCUAGCCAGUGCGAGAA
rnacentral:misc_RNA from 1 species